rnacentral:rRNA from 1 species
AUGAGUUGCGAACGGGUGAGUAACGCGUAGGUAACCUGCCUGGUAGCGGGGGAUAACUAUUGGAAACGAUAGCUAAUACCGCAUAAGAGUAGAUGUUGCAUGACAUUUGCUUAAAAGGUGCAAUUGCAUCACUACCAGAUGGACCUGCGUUGUAUUAGCUAGUUGGUGGGGUAACGGCUCACCAAGGCGACGAUACAUAGCCGACCUGAGAGGGUGAUCGGCCACACUGGGACUGAGACACGGCCCAGACUCCUAUGGGAGGCAGCAGUAGGGAAUCUUCGGCAAUGGACGGAAGUCUGACCGAGCAACGCCGCGUGAGUGAAGAAGGUUUUCGGAUCGUAAAGCUCUGUUGUAAGAGAAGAACGAGUGUGAGAGUGGAAAGUUCACACUGUGACGGUAUCUUACCAGAAAGGGACGGCUAACUACGUGCCAGCAGCCGCGGUAAUACGUAGGUCCCGAGCGUUGUCCGGAUUUAUUGGGCGUAAAGCGAGCGCAGGCGGUUAGAUAAGUCUGAAGUUAAAGGCUGUGGCUUAACCAUAGUACGCUUUGGAAACUGUUUAACUUGAGUGCAAGAGGGGAGUGGAAUUCCAUGUGUAGCGGUGAAAUGCGUAGAUAUAUGGAGGAACACCGGUGGCGAAAGCGGCUCUCUGGCUUGUAACUGACGCUGAGGCUCGAAAGCGUGGGGAGCAAACA